rnacentral:rRNA from 1 species
CCUACGGGUGGCAGCAGUCGAGAAUCAUUCACAAUGGGGGAAACCCUGAUGGUGCGACGCCGCGUGGGGGAAUGAAGGUCUUCGGAUUGUAAACCCCUGUCAUGUGGGAGCAAAUUAAAAAGAUAGUACCACAAGAGGAAGAGACGGCUAACUCUGUGCCAGCAGCCGCGGUAAUACAGAGGUCUCAAGCGUUGUUCGGAAUCACUGGGCGUAAAGCGUGCGUAGGCUGUUUCGUAAGUCGUGUGUGAAAGGCGCGGGCUCAACCCGCGGACGGCACAUGAUACUGCGAGACUAGAGUAGUGGAGGGGGAAGCGGAAGUCUAGGUGUAGCAGUGAAAUGCGUAGAUAUCGAGAGGAACACUCGUGGCGAAGGCGGGUUCCUGGACAUUAACUGACGCUGAGGCACGAAGGCCAGGGGAGCGAAAGGGAUUAGAUACCCCUGUAGUC